GAUGAACGCUGGCGGCGUGCCUAAUACAUGCAAGUCGAGCGAACGGACGAGAAGCUUGCUUCUCUGAUGUUAGCGGCGGACGGGUGAGUAACACGUGGAUAACCUACCUAUAAGACUGGGAUAACUUCGGGAAACCGGAGCUAAUACCGGAUAAUAUUUUGAACCGCAUGGUUCAAAAGUGAAAGACGGUCUUGCUGUUACUUAUAGAUGGAUCCGCGCUGCAUUAGCUAGUUGGUAAGGUAACGGCUUACCAAGGCAACGAUGCAUAGCCGACCUGAGAGGGUGAUCGGCCACACUGGAACUGAGACACGGUCCAGACUCCUACGGGAGGCAGCAGUAGGGAAUCUUCCGCAAUGGGCGAAAGCCUGACGGAGCAACGCCGCGUGAGUGAUGAAGGUCUUCGGAUCGUAAAACUCUAUUAUUAGGGAAGAACAUAUGUGUAAGUAACUGUGCACAUCUUGACGGUACCUAAUCAGAAAGCCACGGCUAACUACGUG
rnacentral:rRNA from 1 species